rnacentral:rRNA from 1 species
GACGAACGCUGGCGGCGUGCUUAACACAUGCAAGUCGAACGGAAAGGCCCUGCUUUUGUGGGGUGCUCGAGUGGCGAACGGGUGAGUAACACGUGAGUAACCUGCCCUUGACUUUGGGAUAACUUCAGGAAACUGGGGCUAAUACCGGAUAGGAGCUCCUGCUGCAUGGUGGGGGUUGGAAAGUUUCGGCGGUUGGGGAUGGACUCGCGGCUUAUCAGCUUGUUGGUGGGGUAGUGGCUUACCAAGGCUUUGACGGGUAGCCGGCCUGAGAGGGUGACCGGCCACAAUGGGACUGAGAUACGGCCCAGACUCCUACGGGAGGCAGCAGUGGGGAAUAUUGCACAAUGGGCGGAAGCCUGAUGCAGCAACGCCGCGUGCGGAAUGACGGCCUUCGGGUUGUAAACCGCUUUCGACGGUGACGAAGCGUGAGUGACGGUAAUGGGUAAAGAAGCACCGGCUAACUACGUG